rnacentral:tRNA from 1 species
GAGGAUAUAGCUCAGUGGUAGAGUGUGUGCUUAGCAUGCAUGAGUUCUUGGGUUCAGUACCCAGUACCUCCA